UGUUUCAUCUCCAUUUCGAAACCACAUAACUUGAAAACCUUUUGAAAUUCAAAUUCAAACUUGCUUUGGGAAUCUGCACCACAUUCAAUCUUCCAAGCUUCCAACAGAAGCUUUUACAUGAUGCAGAGAAAAAUUAGUAUCCAAAAAGCCCCAAUUCCAAAUCCACAUGCUAUAGAGUAUAGAUGCUGAAUUUUCCUUCUCCUCCCGAUGAUCCACCCACCGCGUCUUCCAUCUCCCAUUCAUUCAAAUGAAGAACGCCAAUCUUCAAUUCAAGAAAAACAUGUAGAAGAAGUAGCUUCGUCUGAGGAGGAUGAAGAAGAAGAUAAUCAAAUGUUAGGGCUUCCAAAUUAGAUGGUGUUUGCUCCUUCAUGGCCUUUCUCUUGACUGGGGAGAUUUCAGAGUUCUCUUCUUUUCCCCUCUCCGUCACGUUGGCCUACGAGUUCCGAUUACGCAAAUCCCUCUGCCAGAACCCCUCCUCCUCCAACAGAACCUGCCGCGGUGAGCUGCCGGAGCAGGACAAGUUUAUUAUGCGAGUGACUUUUCUCUAAUCGUUUCUCCGUUUAGAACCCUAGGAACUACAGAUUUGGCAAAUCAAUACAUUUGUAGGAUUACUGGACAUGUGGCCGAUUGGAGUUUUUACAAAUAACAGAUAAAUUUACAAGGAUGAUACUUUAUGGGCAUAUGGAUAGGACUACAGGAUCAAUGGUGUGGCUGUGACUGAUAAUGCUAUACAGGCACAGGUUAAAAUUCAAAUUAAUUUAGUAUUAGCUUGCUGUUCUGACCACCGACAACUUCAUCAUGGAAAAUGUGUAGUGAUCCUUUUUUUCAUGAAGAAUGAUGUGCAAUUCAAGACCUGGAAACAUAUGGUAUACUGGGGAAAAUGAUCACUGCUCUGAACCCUGUUCUGUUUACGGAAAUGAAACAGGUUGCUUGAAGCUUGAAUUUUGAUGAAAGACUCCAAAUAUUCUACUAGCAAGUCUUUUUAUUGGAAGCAAAAUCCUCAGGUGAGGUGUUAAUGCAGAGAAAGGACCAAGGAAUAAUCACUAUUGGAGAAGGCGCUUAUGCUUAAAAAGUGGCACAUUUAAUUAAGAUUUGUGCAGAGCUUAUGUUAAACACUACACAUAAAGUUAUUGCAUGGGCUAGCUGAUUGUGGUGUGGAGAGUGACAAUAUUGAUUGGACCACGGAAGAGAAACUAUUACAAAUUGUGGAGAGGAAAGCUUUUAGGUGUUUGUGCUGUUGUUGUGUUUGAUGCAAGGUGAAAAAUGUAUGUGUUCGGAGAGAUUAAAGCUUGCUUCAUUUUUCAGUUGAAAACUGCAAGUUGCUGUUGAAUGGUCUAAAGUGAAAUUUCUUUGUUGCUUUCAGAGGAUUAAUUGCAAGUGAAGGGUUAUGAUAAUUAAGUGAAAUAAUGUGUUUGAUGUGUAGAAGAUUUGAAGUGGGGUGCAUUUUAUACGGGCUGAUUGUGUGAUACUCAGUUAUGAUAAAUUAAUAUGUUUGUGUUA